UAGCGAAGGGGGCUAGCGUUGUUCGGAUUUACUGGGCGUAAAGGGCGCGUAGGCGGCCACCGCAAAGUCGGACUGUGAAAUCCCCGGGCUUAACCUGGGACCUGCAUUUGUGACUGCAUUGCUGGAGUGCGGCAGAGGGGGAUGGAAUUCCGCGUGUAGCAGUGAAAUGCGUAGAUAUGCGGAGGAACACCGAUGGCGGAAGGCAAUCCCCGUGGCCUGCACUGACGCUCAUGCACGAAAGCGUGGGAGCAAACAGG
rnacentral:rRNA from 1 species